rnacentral:rRNA from 1 species
GAUGAACGCUGGCGGCGUGCCUAAUACAUGCAAGUCGAGCGAACAGAUAAUGAGCUUGCUCCUCUGACGUUAGCGACUGACGGGUGAGUAACACAUGGAUCACCUACCUCUAAUACUGGGAUAACUUCGUGAAACCGGAUCUACUACCGGCUAAUAUAUUGUACCGCAUGGUUCAAUAGUUCAACACGGUUUUCCUGUCACUUAUAGCUGGAUCCGCGCCGCAUUAGCUAGUUGGUAAGGUAACGGCCUACCAAGGCAACGAUGCGUAGCCGACCUGAGAGGGUGAUCGGCCACACUGGAACUGAGACACGGUCCAGACUCCUACGGGAGGCAGCAGUAGGGAAUCUUCCGCAAUGGGCGAAAGCCUGACGGAGCAACGCCGCGUGAGUGAUGAAGGUCUUCGGAUCGUAAAACUCUGUUAUUAGGGAAGAACAAAUGUGUAAGUAACUAUGCACGUCUUGACGGUACCUAAUGAGAAAGCAACGGCUAACUACGUG